UGUCUUUAAGCUGUGGCUAACAUAUUGCUUUGGGAAAUUAUGAAAUACCCAUUUCUUUUAAGAACAUACAUAUAAUGCAUGAAAUUUUGGAAAUGAAUUGUAUAACUGUGGUCAUAUUCUUAGACUAAGUUUCAGCAUCUUUGGGGAACUAUGAGAAGUUGUAUGCAAUUUAGUUCAAAUUAGGAAAAAAAAAAAAGAUCAGAGUUCAGUUUCACAUGUUAACAGACGUACCACUCUAAGAAAAUCCUAACAUAGGAAAAAAAUAACUCACAGAAUAGAUAAACUGGAAAUUGGUUAAUUGCAUUUUUAAAAAAAAAAUGAAUUCUUUACUUUAUAAAAAGGUCCCCAGGGUUUCUUUAUGUGCUCAGCUUUCCUGGUGCAUUUAUAUGUCUGAUUAUAGAUCAUUAAGCACUUGAUGAAAUGGCUGGGGAAAAAAAGAGAAGGAAAAAUUGCUAAAGGUUUGGGAACCAAUACUAAUUACAAAACAAUUUAGAAAUGAUAAUACCUUUCUAAAUUUAAAAGGUGAACGAAUGGGAAUAUAUCACUUGAAUCACCCAAAUUUUAUUUAAAUAAUUUUGUGAAAGACACCGUUGGUAACCUAAAAUUCUUUGUUGCCCAAAUUGAUAAAGUGUUUCAUCCAUCCAUUCGGUACAUAUUUAUUGGAUGUUUAAUGUGUUCCAGGCACUGUGCAGAUCAAUGACCAGCAAAACCAAACACAGUUUCUAACCUCAUAGAGUAUUCACUCUAGCGCUCAUCAAUUUUAUUUUGAAGUUUUAUGUGGCUAGCAAAUGUAAAAUGAUAAUGAAAGAUAAGUUCCCCUUUUAAAAACGUACUCAAGCAUUUCCGUGUGAUAACUUCUUUGCCUUAUGUAGUGUAUCUUCUUUAUACACUUUCUGAAAUAUAUUAUUGUAAUGAAUGAUUAUUACUUUCUGGGUUAUUUGUAAAAGAUAAAGGGAAAAGUUUUUCUUAAUUUGGUUCUUGGCAUAUUUAUAUGGAUGUUUUGAGGCUCUGGAAAUGGCAAUUAUCAUAAAUAUCCCAACUGGCACAUUUUAUUAGCGUGAGUUCACAUAACAUAGAUGAAUCAACCUGACAUUUUUUCCUUUAGCUGUUUGGUCACCAUAAUAAUUGGUUCUAUUACAGGUAAGGUAGUGUGAUCUUAAUUUUCUUUGGUAGAUUUGAGUGAUUGAAUUUAAUCAGUGAAUUUUGAGUUGAAGAUCUAUUUCAGAUUUUAAAAUUCUCUCAUUUUUAUGAGGAUUUCUCUGCUUAAUGAAUUUAAUAAAAGUAAGUAAUCUAUUAAUAAUUUACAUAUAGUUACUUAUUCAUGUGCAAGUGGUGUUACAACUCUAAAUUCUGUUUAUAUAAAUGAUCCAUAGGAACUUGUUCUAAUUCAUUUAUUUUUACUCUGAUUACAACUUUUAGUUGAGCAAAUAUUGAACUUUAUUAAUCCCACCUGUGUAUCUUGGUGGGUAAUAAUAUGUAUUGGCACAUGUAUUUAAGAUUCUUCAGGCUUUGAACAAAAAUGUUGCCAUGGGAACCUGAUUUCAUAGCCCAUAGUCCUUUGCAGAACUACACCUGCCUUAUGGUAGAGGUUUCCAUGGCAACAUUUUUGUUCGGGGAACAUAGAACUUGAACAGAAUAUGCCACGAGUCUCUUUUAAAUGUGUGCGUUGAUAGUUGUGAUAUUACUAUAGUUAAUGUGUGUAUUAGAAAUACAGGUGGCCCCAUGGUGGGCUCAGUGUUGUUCUUGCUUUCAGUGAAUAGAUUCCCGGUGAGUUUAGCUGUCGCGAUGCAUUGGAUUAGGAAAUUAAAGCAAUUUCUGGUCUCUUUUCACUGUCUCUCCACCUUCCACUCAUUUGACCCUCCUGCUAGAAUGUGGUGAAAUAAUCCUCCAUGGCUAGCAUGCCCAGAAUGAUCAUUUGUGAUAAUGCAGAGCUGUAAGAAAGAGAUGUGUAACUAAUGUCUGGCCAAGCUCAGCAGGCUCUAUUUUAAAGGGCAGCAUCAAUCUCGGGAGCCUCUAAUGCUACAGAAUAUGCUACUAAUGGUCCUUCAACUUCCUCACAUAUACUUUUCUCCAAAGAAGGUCAUGAGCUCCAAUAACAAAGCAUCCUGAGGACGGGGUAAGAUUUAGUUUUCGUAUUUCUGAUCCACGGUCUGGUCUCUUCAUCUUUUAUAUUUACUUUUGGCAUUCAAAAAGUUGACGAUGCCUAAAUUAAGGUGGCCCAAGUUUUUUCUUUGCUCGCCACUCAUUUAUGUCAUGUUUCAUUUAUAACUAAGGUUGUAUAGGAAGAGCAUGCCACGGCCCUGCAACAGAUAAACCAGGGUUAUCACUGUUGCGUUAUUAUGGUUCUAUCCGCUGUUAGAUGCAUCCUCAUGUGUCAGGACUGUGAUCUUAUUGCUGCCAGGUAUGCUGGCCUAUUGCUGUUUCUUGGCAGGUCUUAAAACAUGCAGCAGUGGAUUUUGCAGCAGCCUAAGCUGCUGCUCACAGUCCACGAAAGAGCUGAAUGGGGGCUAUUAUUAAUGCCAAUCAUCCUCUACCCACAAGGGUAGCAAAGGGACUUUUAGAGACCACAGGGCAGCUUUCAGCAGAAACCCUAAUCAGAUCAUCUUCCUUGAUCAGGGAAGGGAAUGUAGGAAAAUGAGGUGGGUUAAAGGAAUUAGAACAAGUAAAUGCCUUCUGAACGCAUUCAGGACAAAUUAGCUCAGAGUGCAAAUAGAGAUUGAUUUGUCUGAUUGAAACAUAACUUAAAAGCCCGAGGUCAGGCUUCUGCCAACUUAAGGCCUUAGAAAGUUAAACAGAGGAGUGUGAAAAACACAUUUAUUUAUAAAAAGGAAGGAAGAGGGGGUUGGGGGGGUGGAGAAGGGAAUGGUGGGAAGAAGGGAAAGAGAGAGGGAAGAACAGUAAGCCCAGGCAUAGUGAAAUAAUAAAACUCAGGAAGUUGAUCUAGAGAAUUGUCCUUAUAGGGUGUUGGGAAAAAAAAAAAAAUUAGGUGAGUUUCAGUAAGAGGAAGAUGCAAUGAAUGUAGCGGGUCUGUCCGAGAUCAGGAAUCAGACCGUCUUGGUCACUAACUUACAUGUAACCUUGGAUUUAUUACUUGAGUCACCUUUCUGUAAAUUAAAUGAUGAGGCCAGCGUUAACUCUGUGUCCAUGAAUGUAUGUGUAAGUACAGUGGACAAGGCUCCCAGGAACCUUUUUGUCUCCUGAACAACUUCUUGGAGUAGACCCGCUCGACCUUUAUUUUCUGAGCAUUAUAAUGAGCUUUCAUUUGAAGAAUGUGCUUCCUGGAUUAUAAGAAGUUAUAAAACCAUCAGAACUACUGAUUUCCUAAAUUCUGCCCAGAGCUAAUAUUCCAUUCUAAGCCCCAAUCUCUACUAAGUUUAUAAAAUGAUGGCUUUUAACCAUUGUUGACUCUAGUUAUGAGAAUGUUGAGCUCAUGGUCAUUGCUCAAUCAAUAUUUCUUGAGUUGAACUGAAUUGAAGGUCAUCAAUCCUGGAAAUGGACUGGGCAGAUUCUUUUCCUAAAAUGUCAAAGAAAUGAUUUGAAUCAAUGGGAAGGCAGGCAACGCCUAAACAAAUCACAACCCUGCCUUCGCACCAACAGGGUUUGGCCACUUUGGGAGGAUCUUGUGCAGCUUUGGUCACUGAACCUUAAAAUUCAGAGGAAGCUGGAGUCCUUAAAAUCCAUGGAAGUUGAAAAAAGAAAGCUAUUAUAACCAUAGCAAGAAUAGGCAGAGGAAUGAGUGCCUGCCGGGUGUAUCAGAGGAGGACAGAGUAACCCAUCAAGUCUUUAGCCCUUGAAGUAUGAAGACUGAGGAAGCUAACAUCAAAGUCGAAAACCUGUGAGGAAUAUGAAUAUGAUAACACAAAUAUAUUCAUCCAACCCUGAACUGUAAUUACAGGGGAACCCACUUUCCUUGCAACUUUAGACAGAUGAAUUUGGGGUCAAGAGGAAGUACUGCUUUGCAUAUAAAGUCAUUCACUGAUGGGGUUAGUUACUCUGGGCAUGUAAAACUCGGACCCAGCGGGGUGCAUGUAGGAGGUUGAUUAUUUGGGCUCCUGCCUCCUGCAGUUUUCAGUGUGUGACCUCCUGGCUCCGGUGCCCGAGGUGGGUGGUAGGGAAUGUGUGACUCCCAGAUUUUGCCAGAUGGAGUGUUAUCCUACUAAGAUGGUCUUCUCCUCAGUCACAAGGUGUGGGCUUGAUGCACGGAAUAGUCUUAGCUUCCGUGCCUGAUCUCCAAUUAAACUUGAGAAGGGAGAGGCAAGUUCUCCCACUCUUUUUUUCCUGAAAUGUGUGCUAUUUUUUCUAACAGAAACAAACAAACAAACGUGAUAAUCUGUCUCCAAAGUAUACAAAUGUGUACUUUGGAGGCAAGUACAUGAAUGCAUAUAUUUAUGUAACAUGUGUCUGCACAUAUAGAUCACAAGAGCAACAUUCCCUAGUGGUCCACCAAGAGCCCCAUGAUGCCUGCAUGUUCUCCAGGUGGGCGAGGAUGGAGACAGCACACUUCAGGGAAAGGCAGCCUUGUGUGUUAAAGCUCAGCCUGUGAGGCUGCCUUGGAGGUUCUCAUUCCAAGGAGUUGCAGGUGGUUCUAUCCGGGCAGCCAGACCUUCGGGUGAGAUGAGCUGUGCCAGAGGGCAAAGGCAAAGCAUAAUAUGGUUGAUGACCUAUGUAGAUUUCAGAUAGUGGGGGGCCCUGGUUGCUCUGUUAUAAAUGGGUUUAUUAUUUCAUAAGUAAUGGGACACCCCUGAAGGAUUUUAAGCAUAAGAUGAACAAAAUGAGAUUUGCCUUUGAAGAGGCUCCUUCCGGGAAGCUGGAUGGAGAGGGGCUGGCUUGCAACAGUGACGGCCAAGAGGUCUGCGGGUUUAGAGGUGAUGUGUUAAUAUAGGAGAGAAUAAAAGGGUCUGAAUCUACAACAGUCACGACUGGCAUGAGGGAAGAGAUGCCGGGGGCUUGUGGAGUCUCUUUUUACUCUACUCUCGCCCAAUGAGCUCUUGCCAUUUACACGUUGUCUUAUUAAGUGGAGGAUGUUGUCAUGGAAGACGGGCAGAUGGGCGAAGUUUGUUGAUUUAUUCCUCCUGCUGCUCUCAUUGCCUCCUCCUUUACUACUUGUUAAAUUUCAUUCAAGUCUUCUAGGUAAGGG
rnacentral:lncRNA from 1 species